GGGGAAUAUUGGACAAUGGGCGCAAGCCUGAUCCAGCAAUGCCGCGUGGGUGAAGAAGGUCUUCGGAUUGUAAAGCCCUUUCGGCGGGGACGAUGAUGACGGUACCCGCAGAAGAAGCCCCGGCUAACUUCGUGCCAGCAGCCGCGGUAAUACGAAGGGGGCUAGCGUUGCUCGGAAUGACUGGGCGUAAAGGGCGCGUAGGCUGUUCGUACAGUCAGAUGUGAAAUUCCUGGGCUUAACCUGGGGGCUGCAUUUGAUACGUACGGGCUUGAGUGUGAAAGAGGGUCGUGGAAUUCCCAGUGUAGAGGUGAAAUUCGUAGAUAUUGGGAAGAACACCGGUGGCGAAGGCGGCGACCUGGUUCACAACUGACGCUGAGGCGCGAAAGCGUGGGGAGCAAACAGGA
rnacentral:rRNA from 1 species